AACCAGCCAUGCCGCGUGCAGGAAGACUGCCCUAUGGGUUGUAAACUGCUUUUAUCCGGGAAUAAACCUAAAUACGUGUAUUUAGCUGAAUGUACCGGAAGAAUAAGGAUCGGCUAACUCCGUGCCAGCAGCCGCGGUAAUACGGAGGAUCCAAGCGUUAUCCGGAUUUAUUGGGUUUAAAGGGUGCGUAGGCGGCCUGUUAAGUCAGGGGUGAAAGACGGUAGCUCAACUAUCGCAGUGCCCUUGAUACUGAUGGGCUUGAAUGGACUAGAGGUAGGCGGAAUGAGACAAGUAGCGGUGAAAUGCAUAGAUAUGUCUCAGAACACCGAUUGCGAAGGCAGCUUACUAUGGUCUUAUUGACGCUGAGGCACGAAAGCGUGGGGAUCAAACAGGAUUAGAUACCCUGG
rnacentral:rRNA from 1 species